rnacentral:misc_RNA from 1 species
GAUGAAGAACGUAGCGAAAUGCGAUAAGUAAUGUGAAUUGCAGAAUUCAGUGAAUCAUCGAAUCUUGAACGCACAUUGCGCCCAUUAGUAUUCUAGUGGGCAUGCCUGUUCGAGCGUCAUUAAGUCCACUUAAGCCCUGCUUAGUGUUGGGAGACUGCUCCAGCGGUGCUACCCUGUAGCUACCCUGCAGCUCCUCAAAGACAGCGGCGGAGUUGUGGUAUCCUCUGAGCUUAGUAACUUGUUCUAGCUUUCGAGUACACCACUUCCCCUGCCGUAAAAACCUUAAUUUUUAAUGGUUGACCUCGGAUCAGGUAGGAAUACCCGCUGAACUUAAGCAUAUCAAUAAGCGGAGGA